CGCCCUCCUGCCGCCGGGAGGAGCAGAGAAGAGGAGAGAGGAGAGGAGAGGAGAGGAGCAGACCAGAGUGAUGCUGCAUAGGGGAAGCGGUGGGUGAUUUCUGCAGCUUCAAUUAUAAUUCAUUGUAAUAUAACCCGCAAAGUUUCCAUUCUAUAAGAGAGGAAAAUCCCGCACUGGAAAACCAAGCGACUCAGAAAUGUGGCGGUGUGAGCGCCGCUGACUGUAAGGAAAAGAAACGCUCCGGAGUCAAUGUUCGUGACUGUCUAAACAGGGAGACGGACAAGGCAGAGGAGAGGAAAGCAGAAGACAAACAGGUCAUCUUCUCCAGAUGUGGAGACGGUGAAGUUGUUUUCCUGGAAAGGUACUACUGCCCUUGCCGUUGCCUAGCAACAAAGUAGGUCCAUGGGACUUCACAUCUUGGAGAUUCUCCACACCUACUGAGACGCAGUCCUCCUCAGACAUUUGGGGAAAGUUUGAGAUUACGUCGCAUUUAAUGAAACCUGGAAGACCCCUGCCACUUUGAUGUGUGAACGCACCCACAGAUAAUGGCCCAGCGGACACACAGUUGACGUAAGUGUACUGAAGCAGCAGACGUGUUGAUGAGUCCCGUCCAUGCCACCCCUCAAAGUCUCUCCUACAAGCACAUCUGAACUUCUUAAGGUAAUCCCUCCUCUACUUCAAUUGUUUUCCGCAUGUGCUGCAAAUGAGUUUUUUUCUGCGACAGCUGCCUUCGUUUGCUUUCCCAAAAGAACUGUUCACACACAGAGGGGGGAACUUUAAGAAAGGUAAACAGCGUCAAGCUCACAGCUCAGCUGCAAUAAAAACUAAUUUGCUUUGAGCAGACACUGGUUUAUUAUACUCUCAGCAAAGAGGUU